CGGGUGCUAACCUCGCACCCGCCAGGCUUGCGGGUUCCCCCAGGACUAGGGGAAGCCUAAGGCCAAGGAGGGCAAGACCUAGGGUCUGGACCUGGGAACUGGUUCUGCCACGUGUGAUCGCAGCACUUAUGCUGGGAAGGAGGGCAGGAAGCAUAUCGCAACGUGCGUCCGGACGAUGACCCAGAAGGGCAGGAGUUGUGGUCACCCACGGACUCUGCGUCUGCAUAUGGAGGCCCCCAGGGUGCAAUUCCAGGAGCAGAAGGCAAAUCCACAGAGGCCACAGUGCACCUCGCCGAUGCUCCCCAGGGGCAUUGCCCCAAAUCUGGGGAACAGUCCCUCCUCUGGGCUAGGGACUUUGUUUCCUCCAUUGUCAUCACUGACUGUGAGCAGACUCUUGUCUAGGCAGACUAAUGAGGAGUUAUCAAAAUGAGCUUAAAAGUCCGGAUUUGAGUUAAGGAUCAUAAAUUAACACAGAGAAAUACGACUUUAGCAAUAAGUGCCUGCUUGAAGCCCAAGUUGCCUGAAAACGCGGAAUUUCAGUCUUUCAGCUCCUCUGCUAAUCUAGGGACUAAGAACAGGAUCUCACUGGAGCUCAAAGAUGUGGGGCACUGGAAAUACUCCUGGGUCUGUCUGCUCAUGGCUGAUUGCCUGAUUCCCAGUUUUAUUAUACAGCUUAAAUACAGACCAGAAGAGGAGUUUGGGGCUUGACACCUGACAUCUUAACACCAGUUCCUGUUUCUUGAGGAAGGAAGAGGUAAAAUAAAUCAGCGUUUACUGUUUCCUUCUCCAUCCCCGGAAGUCCUGAUGAAGACCCUCUCAGGAGGGAAGAGGUAAAAAAGAAGGCAGUGUCUACUACGUCCUUUGCCAUGUGUGUCAGGAAAUCCUCACGAAGAGACUCUCAGCUGCUCCUCCAGGCGCCUGCAGACCGCUCUCUUCUCCCUCACCUCCCUCUUCUUGGAGGCCAUCAGGUAACGCCUGGCCAGCUGGUGGCAGCGUUGGGGCCUGCGCUGGACUGAGCUUGGCAGCCGCCUCUCCAGCAGCUCUUCAAAGAAUACCUGGCAGCUGAAGCCCUGGCUCACAGCAUGCGCCGCGUGCGCAA